GGAGGAUAUUGAAUAUUCCCAAAACAGAGAUAAUAAAUGUUUGAGAUGAUGAAUCUGCUAAUUAUCCUGAUCUGAUCUAAAUACAUUGUAAAGUAUC